rnacentral:rRNA from 1 species
UACGUAGGUGGCGAGCGUUGUCCGGAAUUACUGGGUGUAAAGCGCGCGUAGGCGGGAGGCCAAGUCCGCUGUGAAAUCGCCCGGCUCAACUGGGCGCGGUCGGUGGAAACUGGUCACCUGGAGGACGGUAGAGGCGAGUGGAAUUCCUGGUGUAGCGGUGAAAUGCGCAGAUAUCAGGAGGAACACCGGUGGCGAAGGCGGGUCUCUGGGCCGUAACUGACGCUGAGGAGCGAAAGCGUGGGGAGCGAACAGG